rnacentral:rRNA from 1 species
CCUACGGUGGGCAGCAGUGGGGAAUAUUGGGCAAUGGGCGCAAGCCUGACCCAGCAACGCCGCGUUAAGGAAGCAGGCUUUCGGGUUGUAAACUUCUUUUAAGAGGGAAGAGCAGAAGACGGUACCUCUUGAAUAAGCCACGGCUAACUACGUGCCAGCAGCCGCGGUAAUACGUAGGUCGCAAGCGUUCUCCGGAUUUACUGGGUGUAAAGGGCGUGCAGCCGGGAAGACAAGUCAGAUGUUAAAUCCCGCGGCUCAACCGCGGAACUGACUUUGAAACUGUUUUUCUUGAGUACCGGAGAGGUCAUCGGAAUGACUGGUGUAGCGGUGAAAUGCGUAGAUAUAAGGAAGAACACCAGUGGCGAAGGCGGAUGACUGGACGGCAACUGACGGUGAGGCGCGAAAGCGUGGGGAGCAAACAGGAUUAGAUACCCUUGUAGUC